rnacentral:lncRNA from 1 species
UACUUUCCUUCUUAAAGUCGCCUUACCUCAGGCCAAAGGAAAAAAAUACCAACAUUUGUUGUCGCAGACCACCCAGGAGAGUGUAUCAGCAGAGGGACCAAGGCUUGGAUUUCUGGUAGAGAAUGGAUUUGUCGUGACAGACAGACACAAACUUGAGCAGUUGAAUUCAUCGCAGCCAUUGAGUUCAUCAGGAUCAUGAUGGUGUGAGACGUUUCCGUCUCUGAACUUUCAGUUCCUGAGACAUCUAAAGGUGUCCGAGUGUUUUGCCUGCCUGUAUGAACAUAUACUAUGAGUGCUGUGCCUUGGAGCUGGAAUGAACAUAGUUCUGUGCAUGAAUCCUCUGAAAGAGCGGACAAGAUUCUCUGUGGAACCAUGGCUAUCCUUGAACUCACAGAGAUUCAUUGCUGCUGGGAGUAAAGUUUACAGGACCACCAUAUCUGACAUGAAAAUUCAAAGCACACUUAGAAGACUUUGUGUUCUCUAGAGAAGUUAGCAGGAUUGUUUAAAUUUUGAGAACUGGCCACACCAGACACAGAAUCAAGAUAAAACUCAACUGAUAAAACACAGAAAUGCUCAAGUGAGGUCAUGAACAAACAGUAAGUCAAUCACCUGCUUUGUACCCAUCUGUCUACUCACAAAGGCAGAAAUAUGAUGGUAGGUGGAACGGUUGGUUUUCAAUGAAGGAAUUCUGUUUAUGUCAAUGUUCUGGAAAAUAGGAAAUAACAUACAGUU